AGUAACAGGACCUCUGUCAGAGUUGCAAAUUGCUUAUGUGUGCAGAGAAACCCUACAGGGUCUUGCUUAUUUACACAUGAAGGGCAAAAUGCACAGAGAUAUAAAGGGUGCAAACAUCCUCCUGACAGACCAUGGAGAUGUUAAAUUGGGUGAGUU